UGGGGAGACUCAAAAUAGCGAGACCCACACAUGACAGUUAUCAGUCGGCCAGGCCCUCAAUUGGAGAGACCACAGCCCAAUGGUUCUCAGUGGGGCUCAGUGGGGCUCAAUGGGGCUGAGAUGUGGGGCUGGGAGUGUGGGGCUGAGAUGUGGGGCUCAAUGGGGCUCAGUGGGGCAGAGAUGUGGGGCUCAAUGGUGCUGAGAUGUGGGGCUGGGAGUGUGGGGCAGGGAUGUGGGGCUCAGUGGGGCUCAGUGGGGCAGGGAGUGGGGGGCUCAAUGGGGCUCAAUGGGGCAGGGAUGUGGGGCUCAAUGGGGCCCAAUGUUUCUCAAUGGUCUCAAUGUUUCUCAAUGGGGCUCAGUGGUUCUCAAUGGGGCUCAAUGGGGCUCAGUGGAGUAGGGAUGUGGGGCUCAAUGGGUCCCAAUGGGGCUCAAUGGAGCUCAGUGGGGCAGGGAUAUGGGGCUCAAUGGGGCCCAAUGGUUCUCAAUGGGGCCCAAUGUUUCUCUAUGGGUCCCAGUGUUUCUCAAUGGGGCUCAGUGGGGCAGGGAUGUGGGGCUCAAUGGGUCCCAAUGUUUCUCUAUGGGUCCCAGUGUUUCUCUAUGGGUCCCAGUGUUUCUCAGUGGGUCCCAGUGUUUCUCUAUGGGUCCCAAUGUUUCUCUAUGGGGCUCAGUGGGGCUCAAUGGGGCCCAAUGUUUCUCAAUGGGGCCGAAUGUUCCUCAAUGGGGCUCAGUGUUUCUCUAUGGGGCUCAAUGGGGCAGGGAUGUGGGUCUCAAUGGGUCCCAAUGUUUCUCUAUGGGUCCCAAUGUUUCUCUAUGGGUCCCAGUGUUCCUCUAUGGGUCCCAGUGUUUCUCUAUGGGGCUCAGUGGGGCUCAGUGGGUCCCAGUGCUUCUCUAUGGGGCCCAAUGUUUCUCAAUGGGGCCCAAUGUUCCUCAAUGGGGCUCAGUGUUUCUCUAUGGGGCUCAGUGGGGCAGGGAUGUGGGUCUCAAUGGGUCACAAUGUUUCUCUGUGGGUCCCAAUGUUUCUCUAUGGGGCUCAGUGGUGUUCAGUGGGUCCUAGUGUUUCUCAAUGGGGCCCAAUGUUUCUCUAUGGGGCUCAGAGGGGCUCAAUGGGGCCCAAUGUUUCUCAAUGGGGCCCAAUGUUUCUCAAUGGGGCCCAAUGUUCCUCAGUGGGGCUCAGUGUUUCUCUAUGGGGCUCAGUGGGGCUCAGUGGGUCCCAGUGUUUCUCAAUGGGGCUCAGUGGGGCAGGGAUGUGGGUCUCAAUGGGUCCCAAUGUCUCUCUAUGGGUCCCAAUGUUUCUCUAUGGGUCCCAGUGUUUCUCAGUGGGUCCCAAUGUUUCUCUAUGGGGCUCAGUGGGGCAGGGAUGUGGGUCUCAAUGGGUGCUAAUGUCUCUCUAUGGGGCUGCCCCCCAUCAGCUCCCCAGUGCAGUGGAGCCGCAGCUCAGCAGCCCCGGCAGCUUCCGACCCGGGACCCCGUCACUGACCCCAUACAGGCCGCUGCUGGUUCCGGGUGCCCCCGUCCCCAUUAAAGGCCCCUUUAUGGACCUGGGUUCGGAGCUGGCCAAGAUGGGGGGGGCCGGGGGGGGGCUGCUCUACACCCCCACCCCCACCCUGCUCUAUGGCGCCCCCUACUGCCCCGACGGCCACAUUAUGCAGGUAUGCUAAUGUAUGCUAAUCAAUAUGCAAAUAUAUGGUAAUUAAUGGGGGACAAUGGGGGGGGCCUGCUCUACCCCCCCCCACCCCCACCCUGCUCUACGGCGCCCCCUACUGCCCCGACGGCCACAUUAUGCAGGUAUGCUAAUGUAUGCUAAUUAGUAUGCAAAUAUAUGGUAAUUGAUGGAGGGCAAUUUGGGGGGGGGUCCUCUACCCUAUAACAACACUGCUCUAUGGGGCCAUGCACCGGCCCCUAGGGACAUAUUAUGCAAAUAUAUGGUGAUUGGUAUGCAAAUAUAUGGUAAUUAGAAGGGUUGAUGGAGAAAGGGGGCGGGGAUAUGCUAAUGAGCUGUGAUUGACACCUAACGCAGGUAGGAAAGGGGGUAUGCAAAUAAAGCACAUGAUUGACAGGGGAAGGGGGCGGGG
rnacentral:lncRNA from 1 species